CCCAGGGUGCAAGCCCCGGGCCACACAUCCGCCUGCAGUGCUGGCAGCCUCUUUGGGCACCAGACAUGAAAUUCAACAGCAACCGCCAGUAGAUUAAACCAAUUGAACGUCUGAAGCUGUGGUGCCGGCACAGGAGUCUCUGGUUUCGGGGCAUCCCGUGCUUCUUUAAGCAGGCGGGUUACCCUUG
rnacentral:sRNA from 12 species